AACGAACGCUGGCGGCGCGCCUAAUACAUGCAAGUCGAACGAGAAGCUGUAGCAAUACAGUUGUACAGUGGCGAACGGGUGAGGAAUACAUGGGUGACCUACCCUCGAGUGGGGAAUAACCAGCCGAAAGGUUGGCUAAUACCGCGUACGCUUCCCAGUCUACGGGUUGGGAAGGAAAGCGAUGCCGUGGGUAUCGCGCUCAAGGUUGGGCUCAUGUCCUAUCAGCUUGUGGUGGGGUAACGGCUCACCAAGGCAACGACGGGUAGCUGGUCUGAGAGGACGAUCAGCCACACUGGCACUGCGACACGGGCCAGACUCCUACGGGAGGCAGCAGUAAGGAAUAUUGCGCAAUGGGCGAAAGCCUGACGCAGCGACGCCGCGUGGGGGAUGAAGGUCUUCGGAUUGUAAACCCCUUUCGGGAGGGAAGAUGGAACGAGCAAUCGUUCGGACGGUACCUCCAGAAGCAGCCACGGCUAACUUCGUG
rnacentral:rRNA from 1 species